CCUACGGGAGGCAGCAGUGGGGAAUAUUGCGCAAUGGGCGAAAGCCUGACGCAGCGACGCCGCGUGAGGGAUGAAGGUCUUCGGAUCGUAAACCUCUGUCAGCAGGGAAGAACGGUCACUGUGCUAAUCAGCAGUGAAUUGACGGUACCUGCAAAGGAAGCACCGGCUAACUCCGUGCCAGCAGCCGCGGUAAUACGGCGGGGGCGAGCGGUAAGCGGAAUUACUGGGCGUAAGGGGCGCGUAGGCGGCAUGUCAAGUCAAGGGUGAAAGCCCCGCGCUCAACGUGGGAACUGCCCUUGAAACUGGCAAGCUGGAGUGCGUGAGAGGAUAGCGGAAUUCCAGGUGUAGGAGUGAAAUCCGUAGAUAUCUGGAGGAACAUCAGUGGCGAAGGCGACUAUCUGGCACAUAACUGACGCUGAGGAGCGAAAGCGUGGGUAGCAAACAGGAUUAGAUACCCGUGUAGUC
rnacentral:rRNA from 1 species